UGGUGGAAUUCCAGGAUGGAUCAGGGGCUUUCCUCCUGAUGGAAAAGAGACCACGGAGCCAGGACCACCCAUGCAAGGAGACGACUGAGGCCUACCUAAGAGUACGCUGGGCUUCCUGACUGGAGUUGAAAGGAUGCUGCUGUGAAGAGAGACUGAGCAGAGGGCUGGUUGUGUUCCUACUUGAUCAGCAUGGUGUUUUCCCAUCACGCCAGGCAUCAGUCAUAGAGGCAUUCAUCCACACAGUAAAGCAUCUGUGAAAAGACAUGCCAAAACAAGAUCAUCAGCCAGGCCUCAGCUCGAUCUGAACGACAACAUGAAAUAGAUAGUCUGCAGCCCAGGAGAAGAACAGAAAGCUACGUCACCGCAAGAAAUGCACAUUCUCCGAUACAUUAUCUUGUGAAUGUGUCCUCCAUAAGACCCCAGACGCAGGGUUCUUCCCC
ensembl:lncRNA